rnacentral:lncRNA from 1 species
GCAUACCCAGCCGGGCGCCGCGCUGCGGUCCGAGCCAGCGGGGAGAGGGCGGCGGCCGCGCCGUGGAACCCCUGCUUGCUCUGGUAACUUAGAAGAUGAUAAUUAAUGUGGUUGCUGAUAAUUCUGAAUAAAUACAGCUUUUAUCCCAGAAAUGUGAAUCCUCAGAUGGAAUGAAAGGCCUGCACCAUAGACAUCGAAGCAUUUACACCCCGCUUGAAGAGUUUGAAAUGGACUUUACCACUGAGAAAUCAAGAUGGCAGCCCAUUAUGGGGAAUUGAGGAAAAUGGAUUAAUGCAAGAAUGCUGUAAUAUUAUACAACCAACACAGGAUUCUUUUAAUGUGGAUUCCAUGAAAUGAAUGAUUCUUACCCAACACAAAUGGACAGUGGAAUUUACUUCCUAAAGACUUGUUACAUGUCAUGUACAUUUUUGACAUCUGGAGAAGACUCUACAAUUCUACAAAUGGUAGUUUGUAUUCCUGGAAUUUCUUGCAGUUUGAUCUGAAGUGACCUUAUGGAAUGUUAACUUUAAUAAAAUCUCUAAAACUUAAAAA